CAGCACUUCUUUUCUUCCCACCACGACCUGCUUUAGGCUUCUGUGAUUUUUUCUCUUCAGAUCGCCUGCAAAAAGAGGAGAAAAGUGCCCAGCCAAAGUGGGAAUAUGGAAGACUCAACCACAGUCAGCAGUGCAAUGGGCUCCAAGCCUACUUUUAUCAUCAUCAUAGCAUUGAGUGAAACAUCAGUGUGACUAUCAAAAGGUGCAACAAGGCACAUCCUGCAUUCAGAUAAGAUCAAAGCUUUCUCAGGUUUCAGUGCCCAGCCAAAAUGGGAAUCUGGAAGACUCAACCACAUUCGGCAGUGCAAUGGGCUCCAAGCCUAUUUUAUCAUCAUAGCAUUGAAAGAAACAUCAGUAUGACUAUCAAAAGGUGCAACAAGGCACAUCCUGCAUUCAGAUAAGAUCAAAGCUUUCUCGAGUUUCAGUGCCCAGCCUAAGUAGGAAUCUGGAAGACUCAACCACAGUCGGCAGUGCAAUGGGCUCCGUGCCAGUCUUCUCAUCACAACACAAAAUUGGAUGCAAACAGUUCCAGUAAUAUUUUAAAAUACCAAUAAAAAUGUAUUUGAACUUA